AAAAAAUGACAUGUAAUAUAUUUCUAUGAAAAUAAGAAAUCAAUUUCAUAGACUGUCAAUGCCCUCUAAUCUUAUCUAGGAGAAAUAGUCACUAUUAAUAAUUAAGUGUAUAAUCAAGCCUUUGUAUGCAGAGGCUGUACACCUGAGAGGUGUAGAGGAAUUUUGAUUGCAAUAUAACAGUAGAAACUACAUAAAUGCCAUUUGAAGGAAUGGAUUUGUGAUGGUUAAUAUUGAGUGUCAACAUGAUUGGAUUGAAGGAUGCAAAGUAUUGUUCCUGGGUGUGUUUGUGAUGGUGUUGCCAAAGGAGAUUAACAUUGAGUCAGUGAGCUGGGAAAUGCAGACCCGCCCUCAAUCUAGGUGGGCACCAUCUAAUCAGCUGCCAGCACGGCUAGAAUAAAGCAGGCAGAAGAAUUUGGAAGGACUUCAUUUGAUGAGUCUUCUGGCCCUCAUCUUUCUCCAGUGGUGGAUGCUUCCUCUCCUCAAACAUUGGACUCCAAGUUCUUCAGCUUUUGUACUCUUGGACUUAUACCUUGGACUUGGACUUACAUCUUGAACUUGGUUUACCAGGGGCUGAAGGCUGCGCUGUCGGCUUCCCUACUUCUGAGGUUUUGGGACUUGAACUGGCUUCCUUGUGCUUCAGCUUGCAGAUGGCCUAUGAUGGGACUUCAUUUUGUGAUCAUGUGAGUUAAUACUCCUUAAUAAACUCCCCUUCAUAUUUACAUCUAUCCUAUUAGUUCUGUCCGUCUAGAGAACCCUGACUAAUACAGGAUUAAUACAUUGAGUUUAAUCAUAAUAGAAUGCUGUAUAUUUCUUAGUUUGGGUAUCCCAGGAAGCAUAUCCUGAAAAUGGAAUUAGCAGUUUCUUAUGAAAUUAAUCCCAGAAAGCUGGAUUGAGGGAUCAGGAACAGUGGCCCCAGGAAGGAGUAAAGGUCAAUAGAGUACAUUAAUGAGCUGUUUACUACUGCAGGCAACUAGGGCUUAUUCCCCUUGGAGACACUCCAGGCAGCUGUGUAGAAUGGCUUUCAGAAUUUCAGUAGUGAAGUUCAAUUCAUUCCAACUUCUUUCUUUAAAUGUUUAAAGGUGCUGAAAUGAUCUGCCCUCUGUUGAUUCCUUCUGUUGGUUGUUAAGAUAAAAGCAAGGUAAUAAUUUCAACAGAACUUUCAGACUUAUAAAAUAUUUUUCCUUGUCUACUACAUCCAGCUGUCAUCUUUCAUCUCUUUAUCACUUGGGAUUAGUUUCCAGUUUUGUAUGGCUUGGAAGGCCUCAAGAAACUUACAAUCAGGGUGGAAGGGGAAGCAAACACAUCCUUCUUUACAA
rnacentral:lncRNA from 10 species